AUUGAACGCUGGCGGAAUGCUUUACACAUGCAAGUCGAACGGUAGAGGGGGCAACCCCUCGAGAGUGGCGAACGGGUGAGUAAUAUAUCGGAACGUGCCCAGUCGUGGGGGAGAACGUAGCGAAAGUUACGCUAAUACUGCAUACGACCUAAGGAUGAAAGCGGGGGAUCGCAAGACCUCGCGCGAUUGGAGCGGGCGAUAUCAGAUUAGGUAGUUGGUGGGGUAAAGGCUCACCAAGCCAACGAUCUGUAGCUGGUCUGAGAGGCACGACCAGCCACACUGGAACUGAGACACGGUCCAGACUCCUACGGGAGGCAGCAGUGGGGAAUUUUGGACAAUGGACGCAAGUCUGAUCCAGCCAUUCCGCGUGCAGGAUGAAGGCCCUCGGGUUGUAAACUGCUUUUGUACGGAACGAAAAGGUCUCUCUUAAUACGGGGGACUCAUGACGGUACCGUAAGAAUAAGCACCGGCUAACUACGUGCCAGCAGCCGCCGUAACAC
rnacentral:rRNA from 1 species